rnacentral:lncRNA from 1 species
CCGACCUUGUGUGUGGCAUCUCUCCGAACCCCUCGACCAUCCAGACUUCUCCGACAAUAAGCUUCUCCAUCCAUCUACUAUGUCGCUUCAAAGGCUCUCUAGCCCUCACUGUCAGCCGACCUUCUACAGUGAUCAACUACUCUCUGAACUCCUUCCGGACUUCAUCAAUAUCCGAGCUUCUUCGACAUUGAGAUUUCUAUGGUAAUCAG